UACGUAGGUGGCAAGCGUUGUCCGGAUUUACUGGGUGUAAAGGGCGUGUAGCCGGGUUGACAAGUCAGAUGUGAAAUCCUGCGGCUUAACCGCAGAACUGCAUUUGAAACUGUUGAUCUUGAGUACUGGAGAGGCAGACGGAAUUCCUAGUGUAGCGGUGAAAUGCGUAGAUAUGUGGAAGAACACCGAUGGCGAAGGCAGCCUCCUGGGACGCAACUGACGCUCAUACACGAAAGCGUGGGGAGCAAACAGG
rnacentral:rRNA from 1 species